UACGUAGGGUGCAAGGCGUUGAUCCGGAAUUUAUUGGGCGUAAAGAGCUCGGUAGGCGGUUUGUCGCGUCUUGCUGUGAAAACCCGAGGACCUCAACCUCGGGCCUGCAGUGGGUACGGGCAGACUAGAGUGGCGGUAGGGGAGAAUUGGAAUUCCUGGUGUAGCGGUGGAAUGCGCAGAUAUCAGGAGGAACACCGAUGGCGAAGGCAGAGUCUCUGGGCCGUGAACUGACGCUGAGGAGCGAAAGCAUGGGGAGCGAACAGG
rnacentral:rRNA from 1 species